UACGGAGGGAGCUAGCGUUGUUCGGAAUUACUGGGCGUAAAGCGCGCGUAGGCGGCUUUGUAAGUUAGAGGUGAAAGCCCGGGGCUCAACCCCGGAAUUGCCUUUAAGACUGCAUCGCUUGAAUCCGGGAGAGGUGAGUGGAAUUCCGGAGUGUAGAGGUGAAAUUCGUAGAUAUUCGGAAGAACACCAGUGGCGAAGGCGGCUCACUGGACCGGCAUUGACGCUGAGGUGCGAAAGCGUGGGGAGCAAACAGG
rnacentral:rRNA from 1 species